rnacentral:lncRNA from 1 species
AGGCUUCCAACCGUUUCCACCACCUGGCGCAGGGUGGGGUGGGGGUCAUCAUGAGCACACUGCUCUUAAGGGCUGCACCAACCCGUAUAAGAAGGUUCGAACGCACGUGCAUCGCUACCUGCUCACCCCGCGUGCUGCAAAGCUGCUUAUCGCUGCUCCCUGGUUUCAGAGCUAUGAUAGGACCCGUCUUUAUGGUAGUCGCUCCAUGCCAGGCCAUAUUCACAGCAUUACAAGCUCACACCCUCAGCAGUGUACAAGCACACGCUCCGGAGAAAGAAGACCGCAUCGACAUUCCCUGCACUUCGGCCAUCUGCAUCUCCAUAUCCGUCAGACCGCAUCCGCAUCUUCGGCAAGACAUCACAUCCCCUCUCACGAGGGCCAUGUCGGCAGCCUAACCUGGCCGCAUUCGUGGUUUACCGUGGCUUCGAGGUGUGACUUCCUGGCAAUCCCAUUACCACCUGCCUUGCGCCAUCUGACAUGCACCGUACCUACUCACACACAAACGUAGAGCGUUCCCAUACGGCGUCAGCCACCAUUCCUAGGUCUCUCAACCCGCUACUGACGGGGCUGUGAAGUGUACACCACCCAUCUCACUCCGCCACAGCUGCCGCUGCCUCGGUCGCUGUAGUCGUCGCCGCCGCCACAGCUGCCUCGGUCACUGUUAUCAGUAGUACUGUUGCUGCCGCCGCCACAGCGCUUCCACGCCUCUGCCACGAAGGCGCUCAGCCGCAUGUCACCGUACUCUUCAGUGAUGUACGGCAACAAGAAGUCCUGCGGCAUGACGCGGCCGCGACAGUGCUGUGCGCUGCAACGGCAGUCGAAGGGUGCAGCCAGACUGGGGCCGUACAACGUGGCGAAAUCCACCGAGAUCACCUCACCUGCGGGUUAUCGGAAACGUAGUUGACACAGGCCCCGGGGGAAUCAGGACGAAGACAACGACGUGGGUUGUUGCUUGGCGACUUCUCUCCUUUUCCUCUCCUCACCCUCACCCCGUACAUAGAUGGCAAAACAUACCUCAAAAAUACAUGCGGCGGCCAAGCUGUCGACAGAGAUGGGACUUGAUGUGGUGUGCCUUCAGGAGACCCACCAUACUAAUGCCCAUGACCAGAGUCAACUGGAGAAAGAGCUAAACAUGGCAUCACAGGCGAUGCACACCAGGCGAUGCACACUCGUGGUCCAACUCUUCCCACACAGCGGGAGUGCUCAUCCUAGUCCGUCGGGAUCUGAAUGCCAAUGUGGAAAACCCGCCGCCCAUUCCCGAGGUCCGAGGGAGAUUUACCAGCUGUAUAAUACGCUGGGGAGGACACCGCAUCCACAUCUGCAACAUUUAUGGCCCCGCGGGUACCUCUGCACGAGUGAAUCCCCUCCGACAACAGCUGUUCACAACCAUGCUGCCAGCCACAACCAAGCAUGCAGCCGAGAACAGUGACACAAUUCUCAUAUGGGCGGGUGACUUCAACUUUGUGGAAAACCCAGGGCUGGACUCCACGGCUGGAGAAGGGGGGAGACGGGGGGAUGGCCCUACAGCAAACCUAGUCAGGGAGGCAGGCCCCACCAUGGUGGACAGCCACCGCCAGCUGCAACCCAACAGUUGCGACUACACCCACUUCUACAGAGCACCCCGCGUCGGGGCCUCCCGCCUAGACCGCAUCUAUGUACACCAUGGCACCAUGCCAUACAUUGCUAAGACGGAGAUUGCCGUGCAAACACCGUCGGAUCACAAGCCAAUGGUCAUGCACCUGCUGCCGUGCCGACCAGAGAGCAAGGGCCCGGGGAACCAAGGAGUGAGGUUGGCCUUCACAUCACAUCAGGACCUAGCCGCAAGCAUGGAGACAUGGAUCACCAGCCGGUGUGCCACAGCCCCAUCUGUGGAGGACAACCCUUUGGGCCUGAUUGUGUGGUGGCCAGCUGUUAAACGCCGGCUGAGCACCCUGGCCUUUCAGCUCAACAAGGCGGCAAAACACUGCAAGCUCAGACCAGGGGCCCGGGCUCGGGAGGUCCAGUUGGCAAGGCAAGCAGUGGAUGCAGCCCCCACAGCACACCAGCCACUUCAACACAACAGCCACUUCAACAACUGAUCGAAGCCCAGGCAACACUCGCAUGAGCACAUCAGGAAGACUGCCGGAAGGAUGCAAUGGAGGUCCGCACCCACUGGCUGUGGGCAGGGGAGAGGCCAAGCCCAUCCCUUACAGCCUUCCUCCAGGCCCAGGCUGUAGACCAACAGCCAGCCCCUGUGGCCCUGCAAGCCUCGUCCGGCCGACUUGUUACCAACCCCGCUCAGCUGCCCCAGGUGGUAGCCGACUUCUGGAAGGAUGUGAGCAAGGCCCCGGACUUCAUCUGGCCCCAGGCCUGCCAAACCGUACUGAACUCCCUCACCACAGCCAACAUUAACCUCCCAGCAGAUGCAGAUGAACAGCUCGGAGCCAAAACGAUCACAGCCACCGAACUGCGGAAGGCACUUAAGAAGAGCGCACCUGGCAAGGCCCCAGGGUGGGAUGGGAUCCCGGCCGACAUCUACAGGAAAUCCUGGUCAGCCAUAGGGAAUACCAUGGCAGGCCUGUUCACUGCCAUUGGCACGACCGGGCAGGUGCCAGCAAGCUUCCUUGAAGGGAUCAUCACAGUGCUCUACAAAAAGGGCGACCCUAAGCUCCCAGGCAACUACCGCCCCAUCAUACAGCUAUGCUCGGACUACCGGCUCCUUGCUAAGGUACUGGUGAACCGCCUGGGCCCCGCCCUGGGACGGGUCAUCACCACCGAGCAAUCUGCCUUCCUCCCCAAGAGCCUGAUUGGGGCCAGCGUACUCUUCCUGCGCCACCUCCUGUCACACCUCCUCCGCAAGCAGAACCGCCAAGGGCUUUUGGCAUUCCUGGACUUUGCCAAAGCUUACGAUACAGUGGAUCGCGGCUUUCUCCUAGCGGCCAUGGAGGCGAUGGGGGCAGGGCCACAGCUGUGUGCAUGGGUACGUCUGCUAUUGAGCGAAACCCGAGCCCGGGCGAUGGUCAACGGGUACAAGUCCAGGUUGGUAGACAUGGAGGCUGGUGUCCGACAGGGCUGCCCCCUGGCGCCCCUGCUGUACCUCUUCGUCGCCCAAGCUCUCCAAUGCUGGCUCCGGAGCCAGGAGGUGGGAAUUAAGCUGCAACCGUCCGACCCAAAUCCCGUCACCGCCUGCCAAUAUGCAGAUGACAUGGAAGUGGUGUUGGAUGGCGCGGAAUCAGUCCCCUCCUUCCUACUGGCCAUGGAAACACUUGCCCGGGCAUCCGGCCAGCGACUCAACCUGGAGAAAGUGGAACUGCUAUGGAUUGGCCAGCAGCGACAGCAACAACAGCAGCCGGCGCUAGCAGCAGGACCCCAGCUAACAGCCCCCCAGCAUGAGACAAUCGGAGGUCUUAAGGUGGUAACCACUGCUACUGCCCUGAACCUGCCGAUAGACAACCAGGUGACCCCACCACAGCCGGACUGGAUGAAAGGGAUGGGAGAGGACAAAAAGAGCAUUUGGAAAGGCAACGGCGGUGUCGGUGUAUGUAUUGCAGACAAUCCCCUGGCACAUGGAGCAUGGCGGACUGGCCCCAGACCGCACGCUGGACGAGAUAGCGUGGCUCACAGCUCGCCUGGUCGACCGCCAACAAGGCCCGGAUGAUCCUGGCCGACGCUUGACUGGCGUGCCCAAGGAACUCCUGAUCAGUCACCCAUCGACAGGAGGCUUUGGUCUGCUGCCCCUCCGGCAACACAUCCAAGCCCGGCAUGCGGUGUGGGCUGCGCGUUUUGUCAUCAUAGCUCUAGGGCUGGGAACAGGCAACACGAGAACAGAUACAGGCGCAACAGACACAGAUAUGCAGGUGGGCGGAGGUAUCCACCCCUGGGUCCGCACGCUUUCCGCCUACCUUUUGCUCACGAACCCCGCUUUCCAGCCAUGGCCCCUGACAACCGUGAGCCCAACUGGGCCCUGGCUUGGGGCUAGUGACCUGCCGAAGGAUAUCAGCCGGAUUGUGGGAGCCCUGGGGCACUUGCCGCCAGCAGAGGACAUCGGGACCAACCCACUGACACCCGGUGACUGGUGCCGGGCGACUGCAUUAUGGGGAAAUCCGCUAUUCCCCAAUGCUGGAGGGACCGACCCGACGGACCGGGGGCGCCACCCCAGCCUGGAGUACCAAUACCCAGGGCUUGUCACCUGCAGGAAACUACAGACGGUAGGGGACCUGGUGCGGGUUUGGACCCUGGCAGAGAGCAGCGAUCUGGCAACCCUCCCUAGGAUGGUAUGGCUGGAGUGGGCCCGGACUCACCUCGAUGCGCUUACCCCGAUCUCCACACCAAGGACCACAGAACCGGGAGCACGCGCAGCAGGUACCCGGCCCCAGGCAGAGGCGGAUAACGGAUUUCCUCAUCCAGCCCGACGGGGUGGGACCACAGACGGGGCCUGCACCGAACGCGCCGGGGGAUGAGGACCAAAUGCAUGAGUGGAACACGGUGACAGGGGGGUUAGCAGCAACGGCAGCCGCGGCGGCAGCAGCACCCGCAGCAACCCCCUUGGAGUGGGCCUGUGCCCGGGCAGUGGUGGACUUCUGGGCGCGUUUGCACUCCUUCACGGUGCUGGGCACCCCGCGGAGAGGCUGGGACAGGGUGGGACCCGACCACCCGAUCCUGUCGGUUUCAGAAGGCGCAUUGCGGUGCGCCGAAGUGGUGGAAAUUAUUGCCUAAGAGCGCUUUGAGCUUAGUAUGUAGAGCAGGGCUCGGGGGGUAUAGGAGUUCAAGGGGGAUGGGAGUUGGAGAGCAUGGAAUAGGUGAGAGGAAACCCCGAGACGGGAGAGGGAGAGGAGAAGGAUGGGUAGUGGAGGCGGUCACGUAGUGCAGGGAAGAACCCUUUUUCUUCCCUAGUGCCGCUCCAAGGUUGUAGGGUGCUGGAGAGCCGGGGGGGAGGUGGGGUCGCUCGGACAGGGGAGGGGGAAAAUGGUGGUGAGCGCGCCAAAAGGACGUAGGUUUACUGGGGUUUGGGAGGUUGAGGUCUGGUGGUAGCAGCGGGGCUCGGAUGAGGGGGAGUUGUGGCCCGAGGAGGGCCAUUCUACUUAGGCACGUCUUCUCUGGGGGGACUGGGUUGCUUGGUGAGCUCACGUGUGUGGGUAGCGUGUAGGGUGCAGUCAUCUGAUUAAUAAAUCCCCUUUCCUUAUACCAAGUGGCCAACUCUGUCUUCAGCUAUUUCUGACCCCUGUCAGUACGAACAAUUUUUGUCUUUUCUCCACAUAUCAAUGCUUGCUACCUGAUCUUUACACGACAGAAGGCAAACAACUGACAUACGCGAGAAAUCGUCCAAAAACUUAGCAUUUUUUAUAUCACCAUCACAGGAAGUAACCAGAAGUGGACCGCACACAUCCACAUGCACUAACGCCAACUUCCUAUCAGCCAGAUUUCCACUUGAUCCAAAGGUUAACAUGACAGCUUGGCCUCAACACAAGUGCCACACACCGACUCACCCUCAGCAUGGUUCACCCUCGGCUUUUUAAUUUCUCAAGCUGAUCCUGGUCUGUUUU